UUAGUUAUGAUUUGUUGUUUCUAGUUUUAUUGUAGAAAUAAAUUAUUGGAGAUACUUUAAUAAUAUUUUUGGAAAAGGAAAAUUUGGUGGAGCUAGUCCCUAACAAUGGCCUUCUGGAAAGGAAUACAUCCCCUUCCUUCCCAAAUACAUUUUUUUUUAACAUUUUUAAGACAUAAAUAAGACUAAAAUACUACAACAAAAACGGUUUAUAGCGACACUUUUAAAUGUAGGUACAUGUCAAAAAAGUGCUGCUAGCUAAAAUUACCGACACUUUUAAAAAGUGUUGCUAUAUGUGGAGUCGCUAGGUAUAUAAUGACAGUUAAAGAGUGUCGCUAUAACCUAAAAGAGUGCUGCUAAUUUACCAACACUUAUUUAAGCAUUUAGCAACCGCCGAAACUCUAUCUCGUUGGCUGCGGUGGCGGAGGAGGACGACAAUAAAGGCUCUUCGUCUAGAAUUUCAGUGGAUUGAGUGAAGAGAGAAGAAAAGAUGGUAAUUAAUUUUUCUUUUUUUUUUUUUCUUUUCUAUUUGUAAUCGGGCCAAAUGGACUGGGUGUGGUGGGUUGAGUAGAGUAAUCUUUUAUUUUUGGUUGGAUUGGGCUUUAUAUUUAGGCAUUAGUAGAUAUUUUUUUAAGUUUUAGCAUAAAUGGGACACUUACUCAAAAGUGUCCCAAACAUGUGUCCCUAUAACCUAAUUCUGUUGUAGUGAAAUAUAAUUUUAAAAAUAAAAUUUCAGGAAUAAAAGUAAAAAAAUAUAUGAAUACUGUAUGGGGGUG
rnacentral:lncRNA from 1 species